ACACAAAUAACAUUUUUUCUGGCUUUGUUGACACGUCCGUAUUUACACUUUCGAUCUGGCCUCACAACGUACAUCUCUCCCUCUCCUCGCCAUCCCGUCCGCCGCAAUAAAAUCUCCAUCCAGCAACACAAGCUUCGCCGUCCCACUCACUUCGUCCACCUUAAACAUCUUUCAUGUUGUGCUGCACCACCAAGAGGUAUCCUUUGC
rnacentral:lncRNA from 1 species